rnacentral:rRNA from 1 species
UACCUCAGUAACGGCGAGUGAAGCGGUAACAGCUCAAAUUUGAAAUCUGGGUCUUUCAGGCUCCGAGUUGUAAUUUGUAGAAGAUGCUUUGGGUGCGGUCCCGGUCUAAGUUCCUUGGAACAGGACGUCAUAGAGGGUGAGAAUCCCGUAUGUGAUCGGUGGCUUGCGCCCGUGUAAAGCUCUUUCGACGAGUCGGGUUGUUUGGGAAUGCAGCUCUAAAUGGGUGGUAAAUUUCAUCUAAAGCUAAAUAUUGGCCAGAGACCGAUAGCGCACAAGUAGAGUGAUCGAAAGAUGAAAAGCACUUUGGAAAGAGAGUUAAACAGUACGUGAAAUUGUUGAAAGGGAAGCGCUUGCAACCAGACUUGCGCGGGGUUGAUCAUCCGGGGUUCUCCCCGGUGCACUCGGCCUCGCUCAGGCCAGCAUCGGUUUCGGUGGUUGGAUAAAGGCCUUGGGAAUGUGACUUCUUUCGGGGAGUGUUAUAGCCCUCGGUGCAAUGCAGCCUACCGGGACCGAGGACCGCGCUUCGGCUAGGAUGCUGGCGUAAUGGUUGUAAGCGACCCGUCUUGAAACACGGACCAAGGAGUCUAACAUCUAUGCGAGUGUUUGGGCGUCAAACCCAUACGCGUAAUGAAAGUGAACGGAGGUGAGAACCCUUAAGGGUGCAUCAUCGACCGAUCCUGAUGUCUUCGGAUGGAUUUGAGUAAGAGCAUAGCUGUUGGGACCCGAAAGAUGGUGAACUAUGCCUGAAUAGGGUGAAGCCAGAGGAAACUCUGGUGGAGGCUCGCAGCGGUUCUGACGUGCAAAUCGAUCGUCAAAUUUGGGCAUAGGGGCGA